rnacentral:siRNA from 1 species
CACUAUAGCAACCUUCUCCUCAGC